AUAGAUGCAUAGAUAGGGAAGAGUAGAAUGCAUUGUGUUUGCCAAAGAGAGGAAACGUUAGGUGCGAGUUUCCGCUUACACACAUUUGAAGGUCGCCCUGGAGCAGUUUCUGUGAACCUGAUAAAGCUUAGCAGAAGCCGGUUAGAAGCCGUUAUACAAUGAAGUGUCAGCACGUUUUUUGUGUUGAAAUAAAGGUGGUACCGCGAAUUCAACUCCUUCGUCCUUUUU
rnacentral:ncRNA from 1 species